rnacentral:rRNA from 1 species
UCAGGCCUAACACAUGCAAGUCGAGCGGCAGCGGGAAAGUAGCUUGCUACUUUUGCCGGCGAGCGGCGGACGGGUGAGUAAUGCCUGGGAAAUUGCCCAGUCGAGGGGGAUAACAGUUGGAAACGACUACUAAUACCGCAUACGCCCUACGGGGGAAAGCAGGGGACCUUCGGGCCUUGCGCGAUUGGAUAUGCCCAGGUGGGAUUAGCUAGUUGGUGAGGUAAUGGCUCACCAAGGCGACGAUCCCUAGCUGGUCUGAGAGGAUGAUCAGCCACACUGGAACUGAGACACGGUCCAGACUCCUACGGGAGGCAGCAGUGGGGAAUAUUGCACAAUGGGGGAAACCCUGAUGCAGCCAGUCCGCGUGUGUGAAGAAGGCCUUCGGGU